GAUUAAAAGUCACUUCCAUGAUUGAAAGAUACAAAGAAAAUGAUAGGUGAAGUAGCGAAGAUUAAUCGAGAGAAACCAAUUUCAUUAGGUUCUCUAUGUGGAAAAUACAAGAGGUAAAUAUUCACUAAACAUCACAAAUAUCAUGAGACAUCGCAGGUAUUGUGAUACAUCGACAUGUGUCGAGUGUCGACAAUAUUAAUCUCAUCGAUAGAUUGGAUUUUUCAUAUUCCAAGAUGGCAUAGUAUCGCUGACCAGCAAUACUGAAAAUAUUGGCCGAUAUCGUCAUUAGAUUGAACACUUGUUCUAAAUAUUGCCAGAAAUUGAUCCUUCGAGAUGGUUUGGUGCAUAACUAGCUUAAUUGCCUUAGCUUUUAGUUUUGAUUUUUUACAAUGUUUGAAUGGUUUUGAAAUAUUAUUUGCUUCCAUUUGAAUGACCAUAUACGCAUAAUCAUGGUUUGAUUCAAUUGAGUGAUCUCGAAUUCUGAUUUGAUACCUUUUAAUGGUUUUGUAGAAAAUUUAAAUAGUUUAAGUGGAAUGAUAUUUUUUUCAGGGAAAAUUUUUGAGGAAUGUGACUUUCAGGAACUUCUAAGCAACUACAAUACUCAGUAAUGUUAAAACUAGUUAUAUUAGCUUGUGUUGAGAUUAGUUAUUGAGCUAAAACUGAUAAAAACAUCAGCAUGGAUCUUUAUGCACCAUGUAUGAUAUAAAACACAUUGAAAUGAAGAAAAUUUGCUCUUGGAGCCUCCAGCCGUGUCCCUAGACAUUGCCUAUUGCCUUGGAAUGUCCUGGGACUCUUGCGCCUUGAGUGCGUCUAUAACCUUUCGUGGAGCUACAGGCCCUAACUCAUGAUCUAAAUGCUGAGCGCUGUAGCAGGAGCCUGUAAUCCUAACUUGGGCGCUAAGGUGGUGGAUGGAUGGUUGCCUCUGCCCAACUGGGUAGAGUCUAAUCCGUGUUACUGACUUGCCAGGUCAAAGUUGGGCAGCCAAAUCACGUUACAUGGGUGAAGGCUUGAACAUCUUUUUCUUUGAGAGGGACCAUGUCAGACAGGCUUCACAGUUUUGCUGGUCCUGAGAAAUAUUCAACACCCAAAUUUGCUACUUUGCAGCCAAGUCUAUAAAGUAGAUCUUCUCACCAAAGCACUCGCUUGACUCAAAAAGGGAGCGUCCUGUCUUUUUGAUGGACAAGCAGUCAAUUCAAUAGUGUUUAUGGAAUGUUGACUCAAAAAGGGCCUCUUAGAUCUCUAUGCUUCAGCUUGAGGGGGAAUGUGAAAGACAUUCUUGUACAGCUCACUUGCCUAUCAUCUUUUUCGUGGAGUUCGUCAUUUAUUGCCAGAUGUGAGAUGACCACAAGUAUCUUUUUUAUAGUGGUCUUACCAUUAAGGGGACAUUUUUUUCUCAGCACACACAUACAUGGUGUCUUACGAACCUGGUACUGGAAGACUAAGGUUUUUUAGUAUUUUGUAUCAGGUGUAUCUUGUUUUAGCUUUAAUUGGAGUAUGGCAGUCACAUUCUGUAGGAAAAUUAUAUUUCCUGUCUGAUAUGGUGACGUGCAAUUUUGCAGAUUGAAUAUCCUGAAAUUGAAGACCUAGCGAAGCCGUGACAUUGGUUUAUGUCAUCCUUUGAGCAGGUAGGUUGUUCUGUUCUUCAGCUGGGCCAAACAUGUGAAGUGAUUCGACAGUCAAGAGAAAUUAACCAAGGUUAGCAUUCAGCCUCCAUGUAUCCAAGAUCAGAUCAUCCUGAUUUUUGUGACAACGAUCUACAUGGUGGGGCCCACUUGAUGAGCACAUCACAUGUUGCUCGUGUGCCAUGUUGCUGCAUGAGAGGCAGGUGGUGGUCCGCACAAUCCCUCAUCAGCCUGGAUUUCUUCUAAGUCUAGUAUGGCUCCUGGACAAAGAAGGAUAGAUUUUUCUCAGUGAAAUCAGUAUGCGGCGGACAGUCUAGCAUGGCGUCUGGACACAAAAGGAAAAUUCUCAGUGAAAUCUCUUUAUAGUCAUUUAGCCAGCAGCCCUCCUCCAAUCGAAGGGACUUCGUUAUAUCAUGGCUGGAAAUACCAAGUCCCCCCCACAAUUGCGGUUUUCGGAUGGUUGGCAAGGAUAGGGUACUCACAGUUGAUAAUCUGAGAAAGAGGGGUAUGAUCAGCACUAACAUCUGUUUAUGCUGCAUGGCUAAAGAAGAAACGGUGGAUCAGCUCUUUAUCGAUUGCCAGUUCACAUAUCAGAUUUGGAUCGCAAUUCUAGCCCGCUUUAAGGUCCCCUGGACCUUUCCAGAGUCAGCUAAUGGCCUUCUUCAAGCCUGGCAUGGAGUGAGGUGUGGGAAGCAUAGAUCAAAGCUAUGGAGAAUGUCCCUUCUGGUCGUUUAGUGGACCGUGUGGGAAGAAAGGAACGGAAGAUGCUUUAAUGACACUUCUAAAUCAGUCGAGGCUACGAUUCUUAGGGUGACUCAUCUAUUAGUCGAAUGGGCUUCUUCAACCGAUAAAUUUCGGGAUUGUAACUUACUCUUUUUAGGAGAUUAGCUGGUCGGCUAUCUCAGCAGACCAGCUUCAUCUUUCUCUGUUUUCUCCUUUUUUUAAAUAAAAUUAUCUUGUUA